GCCUUCUGUAGAUAUAAGUAGUGAAGUUGUGAGAGUGUGACAGACUGAAGGAGAAACAGCAGUUUGUUUCCUCUGAAGGUGAAGCCGCAACGUCUCCUCAGUUCAACCUGCAGAGCAUCAGACGGAUCCACAUCAGCAGUUUCAGCAGAAAUCUGACAAUGAAGCUGGUAUCAGUCGUCUUCCUCCUCCUGGCUCCUCUGUUGACCAGCUGCCAGCAUUUCUUCCAACCGGUGGACUGCAGUGACAUCUA